UCGGAACUUGUCAGAGAUGACUUGGUGCCUUCGGGAACCGAGAGACAGGUGCUGCAUGGCUGUCGUCAGCUCGUGUUGUGAAAUGUUGGGUUAAGUCCCGUAACGAGCGCAACCCUUAUCCUUAGUUGCCAGCGAGUCAUGUCGGGAACUCUAGGGAGACUGCCGGUGAUAAACCGGAGGAAGGUGGGGACGACGUCAAGUCAUCAUGGCCCUUAUGGGUAGGGCUACACACGUGCUACAAUGGCCGGUACAGAGGGCUGCGAACUCGCGAGAGCAAGCUAAUCCCAAAAAGCCGGUCCCAGUCCGGAUCGCAGUCUGCAACUCGACUGCGUGAAGUCGGAAUCGCUAGUAAUCGCGGAUCAGAAUGCCGCGGUGAAUACGUUCCCGGGCCUUGUACACACCGCCCGUCACACCAUGGGAGUGGGUUGCAAAAGAAGUAGGUAGUUUAACCUUCGNGAGGGCGCUUACCACUUUGUGAUUCAUGACUGGGGU
rnacentral:rRNA from 1 species